UACGUAGGGGGGCGAGCGUUGUCCGGAAUCAUUGGGCGUAAAGCGCGUGUAGGCGGCCCGAUAAGUCCGCUGUGAAAGUCCAGGGCUCAACCCUGGGAUGCCGGUGGAUACUGUCGGGCUCGAGUCCGGAAGAGGCGAGUGGAAUUCCUGGUGUAGCGGUGAAAUGCGCAGAUAUCAGGAGGAACACCAAUGGCGAAGGCAGCUCGCUGGGACGUGACUGACGCUGAGACGCGAAAGCGUGGGGAGCAAACAGG
rnacentral:rRNA from 1 species